CUGUGCUAGAUGGGGAGGUAGCGGUGCCCUGUAACCUGCAAUCCGCUAUAGCAGGAUUGAUGCCUAUCGACGGUUUGUUGCUGUAGAGUCUGCCCUGUAUAAGUGGCGAUGAUGAUUGGGUCCUGCGCAACGAGAAUCUGUGAACCCCGCCAGGUCUGGAAGGAAGCAACGGUAAGCAGACACUCUCGUGUGCCGCGGGGUAGCCUGACCUGAGUUAACUGUACAGGUUACGUCUGUAGUAACAUAUCAACGAUAGGUGCACAG
rnacentral:SRP_RNA from 1 species